UACGUAGGGACCAAGCGUUGUCCGGAAUCAUUGGGCGUAAAGAGCGUGUAGGCGGCUUGUUAAGUCUUGCGUGAAAUCUCGGGGCUCAACCCCGAGCGGUCGUGAGAAACUGGCAGGCUAGAGUUCGGUAGGGGAGACUGGAAUUCCUGGUGUAGCGGUGAAAUGCGCAGAUAUCAGGAGGAACACCGGUGGCGAAGGCGGGUCUCUGGGCCGAUACUGACGCUGAGGAGCGAAAGCGUGGGGAGCGAACAGG
rnacentral:rRNA from 1 species